rfam:Desulfobacterales bacterium GWB2_56_26 gwb2_scaffold_7297, whole genome shotgun sequence.
GUUCCCGAGAGGGCGCGUCCGGAGGAAGCUGGAGCGCAAAACUAUGAGCCGACGAACAGAAAUGGCAUACAAGGCCGAGUCUCCGGGCAAGUCAGCACAACAUGACAAAGCUCCGGGUUUGGGAGCUACGGUAAAUGCCGUGGUUGCAUAGUGAAAGAUUACGUU